AUGUAUGGAGCAACGUUUAGGCUGAACUUUAAAUAGAUUUUUUCCAGGUAUCAUCGCUGCGAUUCUACCUGUAAAAGAACACCUUGAGAAGACGCCAUUCAUCACUCUGUCUGGGGGAAAAAGUCAAACAUUCCUCAUCAAGGCCUCGGAAGAAACCAAAGAAACCAAAAAAACACCAAGGGAGAAAAUGUCCACUGAAACACGUGCCUGCCUGGGUGUGAGGAUAUCCUAUGACAGUCACUGUCGCUCAGGCAGGGAUCUCAUCAAAUAACCAGGAACUAUCAACCAUUGGAGAAGAGAAGAGACUGGGAGUUACCCCAUGCCCAGACAAACUUUUCAUCUAUUCUUCUGAGGGUAACCCCAGGAGAUUACCUGGGGGACUUUUUUUUGCAUAAUAAGACAACCUUUGUUCCUGUGCAGCUCCACAUCUUUUCUUCCUAUAAAGUCUGCCUCCAACAUCGUGGGUCCAUUCAAUUCUCCCUAAUGAAAGCAUUGCCUACAGUCUCCAUCUCCUCUCUUCCCCGUAAAGCUUCUGUGCCACACUGGGUUGGUGGGCAAUCCCCCUGUGAUCCACUACUCCCCUGCCCACAUCCCAACCCCACCAUACACGUUAAUAAAUGUGUGUACCUUUUCUCCUGUUAUUCUGC
rnacentral:lncRNA from 10 species